rnacentral:rRNA from 1 species
ACAAGUUGACAAGAGCAUCGGGUGGAUGCCUUGGCGUCGGAAGGCGAUGAAAGACGUGGUAAGCUGCGAAAAGCCUCGGGGAGAAGCUAAACAUUCUAUGAUCCGGGGAUUUCUGAAUGGGGAAACCCGGCGGAGGUCAUGCUCCGUCGCGGGCACUUGAAUACAUAAAGUGUCCAGCGCCAACUCAGGGAAGUGAAACAUCUCAGUACCUGAAGGAAAAGAAAUCAAACGAGACUCCCAAAGUAGCGGCGAGCGAAAUGGGAUGAGCCCAAACCGGCUGGAUUCGUUCAGCCGGGGUUGUAGGGCCGGCAUAUGUGAUUCAUGAGUAGGCAGGGGAAAUGAGCUGGAAAGCUCUGCCAGAGCGGGUGACAGCCCCGUACCUGAAACCGAAAGCGACACAGCCGGUACCUGAGUACCGCGAGACACGUGGAACCUCGUGGGAAUCCGGGAGGACCAUCUUCCAAGGCUAAGUACUAACCGACGACCGAUAGUGUACCAGUACCGUGAGGGAAAGGUGAAAAGAACCUCUGUUAGAGGAGUGAAAUAGAAUCUGAAACCUGGUGCUUACAAGCUGUGAGAGCGGACUUGUUCCGUGAUCACGUGCCUUUUGCAUAAUGAGUCAGCGAGUUAAUCUGUACUGCAAGGUUAAGCGUGAGUGGAGCCGUAGGGAAACCGAGUCUGACAAGGGCGAUGAGUAGUGCGGAUUAGACCCGAAACCGGGUGAUCUAUCCAUGAGCAGGUUGAAGCAAGGGUAAAACCUUGUGGAGGACCGAACCAAUACCGGCUGAAAACGGUUUGGAUGACUUGUGGAUAGGGGUGAAAGGCCAAUCAAACCCGGUGAUAGCUGGUUCUCCCCGAAAUAUAUUGAGGUAUAGCCUCAUGGAUUGUCUACCGGAGGUAAAGCACUGACAGGGCUAGGGGUCCUACCAGAUUACCAAACCCUAUCAAACUCAGAAUGCCGGUCAGAUGUACCAUGGGAGUCAGACGGCGGGUGCUAAGGUCCGUCGUCGAGAGGGUAAGAGCCCAGAUCAACAGCUAAGGUCUCCAAAUCUAUGCUCAGUGGUUAAGGUGGUGACGUUGUAGAGACACCCAGGACGUUGGCUUAGAAGCAGCCAUCGUUUAAAGAAAGCGUAAUAGCUCACUGGUCUAAUGACGUUGCGCCGAAAAUGUAACGGGGCUAAGCAUAGUACCGAAGCUUUGAAUUCCGCGAAUGCGGUCUGGUAGGGGAGCGUUCUUCACGGGCUGAAGGUGUGUCGUAAGGCAUGCUGGACUGUGGAGAAGUGAUUAUGCUGACAUGAGUAACGAUAAAACGGGUGAAAAACCCGUUCGCCGUAAACCCAAGGUUUUCCGGGUAAAGGUAAUCUUCCCGGAGUUAGUCGGCCCCUAAGGCGAGGCUGAAAGGCGUAGCUGAUGGGAAACGUGUUAAUAUUCACGUACUUGUGUGUUCGCGCGAUGAAGGGACGCAGGAAGAUAGGCAAGCCGGGCGCUGGUUGUCCCGGUGCAAGCGUGUAGGGAUGAAGAGUUGGCAAAUCCGCUCUUCUCUAUCCUGAGACGCGAGUCCGUGACCGAAAGGUCUGAAGUUGUUGAGUCUAUGCUGCCUAGAAAAGCUUCUAAGUAUAGGACACGCAAACCGUACCGGAAACCAACUCAGGUGGGUGGGAUGAAUAAUCCAAGGCGCUCGAGAGAACUCUGGCCAAGGAACUCGGCAAAAUAACCCCGUACCUUCGGAAGAAGGGGUGCUUUUUAGGGUGAAGCGAUUCACUCUGUCGAGCCCUGAAAAGCCGCAGAGAAAUGGUGGUGGCGACUGUUUACUAAAAACAUAGGUCUGUGCCAAGUCGUAUAGACGACGUAUACGGACUGACGCCUGCCCGGUGCUGGAAGGUUAAAAGGAGGAGUCAGCGCAAGCGAAGCUCCGAAUUGAAGCCCCAGUAAACGGCGGCCGUAACUAUAACGGUCCUAAGGUAGCGAAAUUCCUUGUCGGGUAAGUUCCG